rnacentral:lncRNA from 1 species
UGGAUCAUGAGUGAUUAGUCAUAAAUAUAUUACUAUCAAUAAUAUAUGAUAUAAUUUUUGUUUGAAAAAUGGAAAAAAGAAGAGAUAAACAAGCAAAAUGUAGGACUGACCCGCGACAAGGUUGAACUCGUGACCUGUGGGAAGCAGGAGACCACCUCAACCACUAGGCCAGAGUUCUUCCUCCUUAGCUAUGCUCGUUGCAUUUAAAUAAAACAAAAGUUACACAAAUUGAAGCAGCAAUAUGCAUUU